rnacentral:tRNA from 1 species
AAGAUCUUAAGUUAACAGAAACUAUAAGCCUUCAAAGCUUACAAUAAAAAUAAUUUUUUAGAUCUUG